rnacentral:lncRNA from 1 species
GAUCAUAUCAAUAUAAUUUUUGUAAUCUUUAAAGAUGAAACUGCUUUAAAGUCCAAAAUAAACAUCAGAAUCAAAGUCAUCCUCACCGGGAGUCAUUCCUACGACGACCUCUCUUAACCAUUUCCUUCUUACGGCCUCUCGCUCUGUCAGUAUCAGAAUCAGAAUCAAAUUAAUUAAUUCAAUUAAUUAUCUAACUUCGAACCGAAUUAACUAAUAACUAAAAUUCCAAAAAACCAUUAACCAACCUCCGAUCGAACUAAGUUCGGCCACAAACCAACUAACCGAAUUUAAUCGGUUCGAUCGGUUAGUUAGAUUUUAAUCGAAGUCUAAACACCCCUAUUGGAUGCAGUGAUAAUAUGCAUUGCACUCUUUAAGUGAAAAUGUGAAUUUAAACAUUGGAGACAAUAUUAUUGAGAGUAAUCCAUAAUGAUUAACAAAUCAAUCGAUCCAACCCCUCUAAUGAACCGCCUAACUGGUUUCGAAUCCAAUCGGCCAGGUUCAAACAACAUUGCAAGCCACUCAAUUCAUGAAUAUAAAAUAUGCAUGCCACUAUCAUUUCAACCACUCAAUCAGAAGGAUAACAAGAUUUUCCUAUCAUUAACUGUUAGCUACAUAUUUUCUUUCUUCAAGCCUAUUUUGCACUUCAAACACCGCCCUUUUCUUCUAAGUAACUAUGUCCAACACAUACCCGAACACAAUAUCAAGAGGGGUACAAGAAUGACCCUCUAAGAACCUUCCACUUUAAAGCUUCAAGCUAAUCCUUUUGGACCAUACUGAGGGGAAGAAGAAACUAGGUCUCACUACUUGCUUAAUGGGAUAGCAGCUAACAAAUACCAAAUAUACAUUAAAGAAGAACAAGUUUGGACAUAAAACCAAAAAAGCCAUUAUAAAUACUACUACUUCCUCCAAACAUACACAUGACUUAUUCAUUAGUCACAAUAUGAAAAACUCCCUUACCAAGUACCAACGGAAAUGAGAGAAGGAAGAUGGGGAAACAAAACACACGCACAAAAAGAACAUUCAAUUUCCACAACAUUCAGAAAAAAGGACACCCGCCUUCGAAAAGCCUGGAGACAAUUUGAAGUGGUUCCAUUUCGUACUUGCAGCCUUCACAGAUGAAGAAGAAAGCAAAAAUAAAACAAAGUCAGCUCCCAAUAUGUAUCAUCAGGAAGGCAAAAACAAAAAUGAAAACAAAGAAUCAAGACAAGUUUUUGUUAAGGCAUGCUACAGCAGAG